rnacentral:rRNA from 1 species
GAUGAACGCUGGCGGCGUGCCUAAUACAUGCAAGUCGAGCGAACAGAUGAGGAGCUUGCUCCUCUGACGUUAGCGGCGGACGGGUGAGUAACACGUGGAUAACCUACCUAUAAGACUGGGAUAACUUCGGGAAACCGGAGCUAAUACCGGAUAAUAUAUUGAACCGCAUGGUUCAAUAGUGAAAGACGGUUUUGCUGUCACUUAUAGAUGGAUCCGCGCCGCAUUAGCUAGUUGGUAAGGUAACGGCUUACCAAGGCAACGAUGCGUAGCCGACCUGAGAGGGGGGUCGGCGACACUGGAACGGAGACGCGGACCAGACUCCUACGGGAGGCAGCAGUAGGGAAUCUUCCGCAAUGGGCGAAAGCCUGACGGAGCAACGCCGCGUGAGUGAUGAAGGUCUUCGGAUCGUAAAACUCUGUUAUUAGGGAAGAACAAAUGUGUAAGUAACUAUGCACGUCUUGACGGUACCUAAUCAGAAAGCCACGGCUAACUACGUG